AACGAACGCUGCCGGCAGGCUUAACACAUGCCAGUCGAACGCCCCGCAAGGGGAGUGGCAGACGGGUGAGUAACGCGCGGGAACAUACCCUUUUCUACGGAAUAGCUCUGGGAAACUGGAAUUAAUACCGUAUACGCCCUACGGGGGAAAGAUUUAUCGGGGAAGGAUUGGCCCGCGUUGGAUUAGCUAGUUGGUGGGGUAAAGGCCUACCAAGGCGACGAUCCAUAGCUGGUCUGAGAGGAUGAUCAGCCACAUUGGGACUGAGACACGGCCCAAACUCCUACGGGAGGCAGCAGUGGGGAAUAUUGGACAAUGGGCGCAAGCCUGAUCCAGCCAUGCCGCGUGAGUGAUGAAGGCCUUAGGGUUGUAAAGCUCUUUCACCGAUGAAGAUAAUGACGGUAGUCGGAGAAGAAGCCCCGGCUAACUUCGUG
rnacentral:rRNA from 1 species